rnacentral:lncRNA from 1 species
CCACACAUUCAAUUUGUUGACUCUAUAUUUAAAGAGAUUAUUAUGCAAUGGCUUAAAUUUUGAAUUUGGAGUUAGACAAAAGUUAUGUAUUUUAGGGCUUUACGAAAAUUAUGAUUUAAAUUUUUUUUCUUAUUAUGUUUUCUAUCCUUGGGCAAGUGAAUUAUGUAACCUUAGUUGUAGUAAUAACUUCAUUCUAUUUCUUAACAAGUACAUUGAAGAAUAUACGAAGAAGUACAUUUCCAUUUCUAUUAUCUAAGAAGUAAUGCUUAAUUUCUGCACAAAAUAUUUGAGAAUU